rnacentral:rRNA from 1 species
CCUACGGGUGGCAGCAGUGAGGAAUAUUGGUCAAUGGCCGAAAGGCUGAACCAGCCAAGUAGCGUGAAGGAUGACUGCCCUAUGGGUUGUAAACUUCUUUUAUAUGGGGAUAAAACGUUCCACGUGUGGGUGUUUGUAUGUACCAUAUGAAUAAGGAUCGGCUAACUCCGUGCCAGCAGCCGCGGUAAUACGGAGGAUCCGGGCGUUAUCCGGAUUUAUUGGGUUUAAAGGGAGCGUAGGUCGAUUGUUAAGUGAGUUGUGAAAGUUUGCGGCUCAACCGUUAGAUUGCAGUUGAAACUGGCAGUCUUGAGUACAGUAGAGGUGGGCGGAAUUCGUGGUGUAGCGGUGAAAUGCUUAGAUAUCACGAAGAACUCCGAUUGCGAAGGCAGUUCACUGGACUGCAACUGACACUGAGGCUCGAAAGUGUGGGUAUCAAACAGGAUUAGAUACCCCAGUAGUC